UACGUAGGGGGCAAGCGUUGUCCGGAAUCAUUGGGCGUAAAGAGCGUGUAGGCGGCCCGAUAAGUCCGCUGUGAAAGUCCAGGGCUCAACCCUGGAAUGCCGGUGGAUACUGUCGGGCUCGAAUCCGGAAGAGGUGAGUGGAAUUCCUGGUGUAGCGGUGAAAUGCGCAGAUAUCAGGAGGAACACCAAUGGCGAAGGCAGCUCGCUGGGACGGUAUUGACGCUGAGACGCGAAAGCGUGGGGAGCAAACAGG
rnacentral:rRNA from 1 species